rnacentral:rRNA from 1 species
UACGAAGGGUGCAAGCGUUACUCGGAAUUACUGGGCGUAAAGCGUGCGUAGGUGGUGAGUUAAGUCUGAUGUGAAAUCCCCGGGCUCAACCUGGGAAUGGCAUUGGAUACUGGCUCGCUAGAGUGCGGUAGAGGGUGGUGGAAUUCCCGGUGUAGCAGUGAAAUGCGUAGAGAUCGGGAGGAACAUCUGUGGCGAAAGCGGGCU